CUUUAGUUAAUUCUAUUCUGAGUUAAGUCUCUGUUGUAUCUUACCUGGAGGUGCCUCUGUAUGUGAUUGGUCUUUAGUUAGUUCUAUUCUGAGUUAAGUCUCUGUUGUAUCUUACCUGGAGGUGCCUCUGUAUCUGAUUGGUCUUUAGUUAGUUCUAUUCUGAGAUAAGUCUCUAUUGUAUCUUACCUGGAGGUGCCUCUGUAUGUGAUUGGUCUUUAGUUAGUUCUUUUCUGAGUUAAGUCUCUGUUGUAUCUUACCUGGAGGUGCCUCUGUAUCUGAUUGGUCUUUAGUUAGUUCUAUUCUGAGAUAAGUCUCUAUUGUAUCUUACCUGGAGAUGCCUCUGUAUGUGAUUGGUCUUUAGUUAGUUCUAUUCUGAGACAAGUCUCUAUUGUAUCUUACCUGGAGGUGCCUCUGUAUCUGAUUGGUCUUUAGUUAGUUCUAUUCUGAGACAAGUCUCUGUUGUAUCUUACCUGGAG